UACGUAGGUGGCAAGCGUUAUCCGGAUUUAUUGGGCGUAAAGAGAACGCAGGCGGUCUUUUAAGUCUGAUGUGAAAGCCUUCGGCUUAACCGGAGUAGUGCAUUGGAAACUGGGAGACUUGAGUGCAGAAGAGGAGAGUGGAACUCCAUGUGUAGCGGUGAAAUGCGUAGAUAUAUGGAAGAACACCAGUGGCGAAAGCGGCUCUCUGGUCUGUAACUGACGCUGAGGUUCGAAAGCGUGGGGAGCGAACAGG
rnacentral:rRNA from 1 species